UAGGGAAUCUUGCGCAAUGGGCGAAAGCCUGACGCAGCCAUGCCGCGUGUAUGAUGAAGGUCUUAGGAUUGUAAAAUACUUUCACCGGGGAAGAUAAUGACGGUACCCGGAGAAGAAGCCCCGGCUAACUUCGUG
rnacentral:rRNA from 1 species